rnacentral:rRNA from 1 species
UCCGGCAUAACUCCGGGAAACUGGAGAUAAUUCCGGAUAACGCACAUAUGCUGGAAUGCUUUAUGCGUAAAAUGGAUUCGUCUGCCCAAGGAUGGGUCUGCGGCCUAUCAGGUAGUAGUGGGUGUAAUGUACCUACUAGCCUACGACGGGUACGGGUUGUGAGAGCAAGAGCCCGGAGAUGGAUUCUGAGACAUGAAUCCAGGCCCUACGGGGCGCAGCAGGCGCGAAAACUUUACAAUGCGGGAAACCGUGAUAAGGGGACACCGAGUGCCAGCAUCAUAUGCUGGCUGUCCAGGUGUGUAAAAUACACCUGUUAGCAAGGGCCGGGCAAGACCGGUGCCAGCCGCCGCGGUAACACCGGCGGCCCGAGUGGUGAUCGUGAUUAUUGGGUCUAAAGGGUCCGUAGCCGGUUUGGUCAGUCCUCCGGGAAAUCUGAUAGCUCAACUAUUAGGCUUUCGGGGGAUACUGCCAGGCUUGGAACCGGGAGAGGUAAGAGGUACUACAGGGGUAGGAGUGAAAUNUUGUAAUNCCCUGUGGGACCACCUGUGGCGAAGGCGUCUUACCAGAACGGGUUCGACGGUGAGGGACGAAAGCUGGGGGCACGAACCGGAUUAGAUACCCGGGUAGUCCCAGCCGUAAACGAUGCUCGCUAGGUGUCAGGCAUGGCGCGACCGUGUCUGGUGCCGCAGGGAAGCCGUGAGGCGAGCCACCUGGGAAGUACGGCCGCAAGGCUGAAACUU